UAUUAUGCGAAAUUAUAAUGAGGAGGA
rnacentral:sRNA from 1 species